rnacentral:lncRNA from 1 species
UCCAACUUCCAGAAUUAAAAUCCGACACCGUUAUUAAAAAGACCACUCUCGGUCAAACUUUCAAAAAAAUCCAACUUUUGCCAUUUCGAGCCAAAUUCAACUACGGACCUCCAAAUCACAAUCUGGACACAGUCCUAAGUCCAAGUCACCCAACAAUGCUAAUAGAACCAACAAAAUUCUAAUCCAAGAUCAAAUACUAAAAAGUCAAAUUUGGUCAACUCUUUUAAAUUUAAAGCUCCCUGGUUGAGAAUCAUUCAUCCAAAUUAGUCCCGAAUAAUAUGAAAACCAAAACCGACGAUUCACAUAAGUCAAAAUACAUCAUACGGAAUACUCUUGCCUGUAAACUACUGAGCAAAGUGCAAAUGCUCAAAAUGACCAGCUGGUCAUUGCAUCCAUAAAACCCUAGAUGGUACUACACAAAGGAAUAUCCAUUACAAUAUUCUCUCGGAAAUUUAAAUCCUAAAAUUGAUCGUCACUUCGUAUCGAAGGCGGAUGCUCGUCCUCGUCUUAUGUUAAGCCAUUUCGAUAUCAACAACGAUUUAUCCUCCACAUUUGACCUCGAUUUUUUGUAGUUAGGUUAAUAUGUCACAACCUUCGAAGACUUUAUUACUGUUGACCGGGUCAAACACAUAAAAUGAAGUUGCAAAUGGUAACUAUAAAAGUAGUUUCUUCCCAAAAAAAUUUCCCCCGGGGACUUCUUUUUAUUAUAAAAAGAACUCCGUUUGUUAUUUUUCGUUCUUUAAAAUUUGAC